rnacentral:tRNA from 1 species
CCUCUUGUAGUUCAGUAGUCAGAGCGAUGGUGCGCAAAGCCAAAGGUUCCGGGUUCGAUUCCCGGCGAGGA